GCCCUACGGGAGGCAGCAGUGGGGAAUAUUGGGCAAUGGGCGCAAGCCUGACCCAGCAACGCCGCGUGAAGGAAGAAGGCUUUCGGGUUGUAAACUUCUUUUCUCAGGGACGAAGAAAGUGACGGUACCUGAGGAAUAAGCCACGGCUAACUACGUGCCAGCAGCCGCGGUAAUACGUAGGGAGCAAGCGUUAUCCGGAUUUACUGGGUGUAAAGGGCGUGUAGGCGGGCCUGCAAGUCAGAAGUGAAAUCUGGGGGCUUAACCCCCAAACUGCUUUUGAAACUGUGGGUCUUGAGUGAUGGAGG
rnacentral:rRNA from 1 species